rnacentral:rRNA from 1 species
UUAAGCAUAUCAAUAAGCGGAGGAAAAGAAACCAACAGGGAUUGCCUUAGUAACUGCGAGUGAAGCGGCAAAAGCUCAAAUUUGAAAUCUGUCACUUUUAGUGUCCGAAUUGUAAUUUGUAGAAGCAACUUUGGUCUUGGUCCUUGCAUAUGUUCCUUGGAAUAGGAUAUCAUAGAGGGUGAGAAUCCCGUAUAUGGUGAGGAAUCCUCGACUGUGUAAAGUGCUUUCGAAGAGUCGAGUUGUUUGGGAAUGCAGCUCUAAGUGGGUGGUAAAUUCCAUCUAAAGCUAAAUAUUGGCGAGAGACCGAUAGCGAACAAGUACAGUGAUGGAAAGAUGAAAAGAAGACCGAAAGGUCAGUGAAAAAGGACGUGAAAUUGUUGAAAGGGAAGCGUUUGGGAUCAGUCUUGGAAUUUAGUGAUCAGUCUUCCUUUUGGUUGGUGCACUCACUAUUUUCUAGGCCAACAUCAGUUUUCGCGGUAGGAUAAUGAUCUUGGAAUGUGGCUUUUUCGGAAGUGUUAUAGCCUUGAUUGAUGCUACCUGCUUAGACUGAGGUCUGCGCAUUUUGCUAGGAUGUUGGCAUAAUGAUCUUAAGCGGCCCGUCUG